rnacentral:lncRNA from 10 species
GAGUGCAGUCCUUCUCAAUAUUAUUUUAUCCAGUCAUUCAGGCUUGUAUCUAAAUGUCUCGUCAACCUUUCCAGUGACUAAAUAAUUAAAUGCUCUCUAUUGACUUGUUGACAUUUCACUACUUAUGGCAGGUGUAGAUUCAAAAGAAAAAGUGCAGUCAUUCUCCAGAGUCAACUUUUUCUUCCCCGAAAGCUUUUAUACAUGGAUAAAGCAACUUGAAAAAAUUCUAAGGUAGAUGCUGAAAAUCAAGGAGAGAAUGUCCUAUGCUGACAGCAGCACAGCAAAUGGUAUGUCAUUCCAAUUGUGUACAUCUGGUGCCCAAGACUCUAAUUGUUGCUGCACCAAAAGAAAGGGGAAACCCAUCUUCCUGGCACUCGUUAUUUGGGAAUGCCUUCUGCAGAGUGGAGUCAUAGCUUCUUGUUUGUCUUUUUAAUUUCCAUGAUACUUGUUAGUUUUCAAAACACAUUUACAUGCAUUAUCGAGUUGAUCCUCACAACUAUUUUGUAGAGUGAAUAGUGCAGACAUUAUUAGUCCCAUUGUCUAUGAGAGGAAGCAGAUUCAGAAAUAUCAAAUAAGCCAACUAACUUAUCAAUGACAGUCCGAUUUCUAACCUAGUGUGUGUUUUACAUCUUCCCUGUACUUUGUCCUCCAUGAUUUGGAAUUGGGAGUACAGAGGCAUGGUCAGAAACUGUUAUCUCCCUCAAGCCUGUGCAGGCACCUUGAUGUUCAUGCCUAUCUGGGCUGUGAAUAGUGCCUGUUUUAGUACAUCUAGAGGACUUAGGGGACUGCAGAGCAUGUCCCCUAAUGUCCAAUGCCCUCAUUUCACAGAAAUGUGACAUUUCAUAAUGUCCAAUGCCCUCAUUUCACAGAAGACAAAACUGAGGCUCAGAGUCCUUCAAUGCCUGACCGAGGUCCCCAAGUCAGGAGCUGGUAAAUCUAGGCUGAACCAAAAUCCCGUAGUACCACAAACAAGUUACAGCAGAAACUCUUCAGUGUCCACUACACCUGAUUUUCUGUUUUG